AAUGGCGCAGUAUCCUAGUCGGCCCCACCGGUAUCGGGGAAGGGCCUAAAAAUCCUUUGAAGGGCAUAUCUAUGAAACCCGUGGUGUCUGCUUCUUACGCCCAGUCUGGGGUGGAUGCUGGGGGGAGGCAUUUUUUUGCCUGCGGCGGAUGGGCCAGUCCCAAUGGCAUGGGAAGCACGGACCCGGCCGCUGUGGAGACCGGAUAUUGUGCAGAGGCGUACUCCCUUUGUGGUUAGCGACCUCUGUACGGUACCGGACUGAACCUGCAUUGCGGUGCUACCCGGCUUCGAGCCGUGAACGCUGUGUGCAGUGUAGCCUGCCUUGCGUGAGCAGAUCAGGGAAAGGGAAGCUAAGCGUCCGCGGCCCAUGGCCUUGGGCCGGAGGGCGAUAUUCCCUUGAAAGACUGCUUGCAAAAGAGGAUAAGAACCGGAAGAGUCCGCUGUGGAAAUCACCUAGGCUGUCAGAAAUGGGUGGAUCCGGGAUUGCGGUACGGCUUGAGUGGCAAUCGGGUAGCGGCUGCGGCGACGCGCCGCCGGACGUAUCAAAGGGAAACCGCCUCCGCGGCGACGGGAGGUUCGCGUCCGUGGAAAACAAACCCGACCUAAACCGUAAGAUUUACCGGGUCCAUCGCCAUUGUGCUU
rnacentral:sRNA from 1 species